rnacentral:rRNA from 1 species
CCCUUAGAUGUUCUGGGCCGCACGCGCGCUACACUGAUGCAGGCAACAAGUGUAUUUUCAUCCUUGGCCGAAAGGCCUGGGUAAUCUUGUGAAACUGCAUCGUGCUGGGGCUUGACGAUUGUAAUUAUUUGUCACAAACGAGGAAUUCCUAGUAAACGCAAGUCAUCAGCUUGCAUUGAUUACGUCCCUGCCCUUUGUACACACCGCCCGUCGCUCCUACCGAUUGAAUGUUCCGAUGAAUGCUCUGGAGCCGUGGUCUCGUUCGGUUCGCCGGCCUGACCAAUGGUGAAGUUGUGUAAAUCUUAACAUUUAGAGGAAGGAGAAGUCGUAACA